CCUACGGGAGGCAGCAGUGAGGAAUAUUGGUCAAUGGGCGAGAGCCUGAACCAGCCAAGUCGCGUGAAGGAUGAAGGAUCUAUGGUUUGUAAACUUCUUUUACAGGGGAAUAAAGUGCACCACGUGUGGUGUUUUGUAUGUACCCUGCGAAUAAGCAUCGGCUAACUCCGUGCCAGCAGCCGCGGUAAUACGGAGGAUGCGAGCGUUAUCCGGAUUUAUUGGGUUUAAAGGGUGCGUAGGUGGUUUUUUAAGUCAGCGGUGAAAGUUUGUGGCUCAACCAUAAAAUUGCCGUUGAAACUGGGGAACUUGAGUAUAUUUGAGGUAGGCGGAAUGCGUGGUGUAGCGGUGAAAUGCAUAGAUAUCACGCAGAACUCCGAUUGCGAAGGCAGCUUACUAAACUAUAACUGACACUGAAGCACGAAAG
rnacentral:rRNA from 1 species